rnacentral:lncRNA from 1 species
GGAGGACUGAGAGAGCGGCCGAGGUGGAACUCGGCUGCCCACCCGAGUAAAACCACCACACAGGUCUCCCUGUGCUCAGGGCUGGGUGCUCCCAGAGCCUGCUAGAAGCAAGGCCUGACCCCUUCCCUGGCAUCUGCCAGCCACUGCCUCCCUGGGAAGGGAUGGGGGAUAGCAAAGGGCAAUUGGGACAACUAGGGCAUCCACGCCUUUGCCUUCUGUGUGCCUGGGGUGUAUCAGGACUCCUUGUGGGGCCAUGAGUGUGUCACCCUCGUGUCAGGGUGCCAGCAGGCGCCAGGGCAGCAGGCUCUGCCAGGCUGGUGGCUUGCGUGCGCACUUUCCUGGCAGUGGCUGAGCAUCUGCUUGCCAAUGGGAAGUAGUGAAUGGCUUCCUUCUUUUGCUUUGCUUGCACGUGCAUCUUUGGCUUUUCCUAGAAUGCUAUAUUUGUCUUGAUCCAUGAGCUUUCUCAUCUUUGCCCUUCCGAUUCCCAUCGCCAUCCUGCUGGGACAGGCUGGGCGAGUGGGUGUGCAGUGCUGAGCUGCUCACCCGCCCAGCCCAGAAGCGUGUCACAAUGAAACCCUUUGUGACAUCCCUUGAUGACACCCCCAGGGGUCUGCCCUAAAAAAAUGCAGCUGUGACUCGGACCCUCAGUGUCCGUGCAGGACAGUGACGGGACAGGGCAGGAGCACAGGGCCUUUAAGGAGUCUAAGUGCACAGCCCACGUCCCACAAUGCGGUUCCGAUGCUGCCACCACCGGAGAAGACAACGUAUUAUCCUGGGGAGGUAUCCUUGCCCUUAUCGCCCCAUUCCUCCAUCCCGCAGGGUGGCAAAGAUAACCCGCCCCUGCUCCAGGAUGGCCUGGCGGAAGACCUGCUGUCCUGAGGAGAGCAGCUUUCCGCUGGAUUCCUUGGAUUUCCAGCCACUGAAUCCCAAUGCCUGGUCGUGGGAUCUUGGCAAAGAGGAAGCCAAGAAAUUCAUCGAGAUAUUCGUCAGCAGCACAAAGAAGGAUGAGGAAAAGAAAAUGAAGUUCCUGGAGAGCAUCUGCACCCUGUGCAGACAGUAUUCCUUGUUGGAGGACAUGGAUGCCUUCUGCCACAAAACCGAGCUGGCAGAGAACAUCAAGGUUUUGCUGGAAGAGGAGCCCACGGACAGUUUGCACACAGCAUUUCGUAGGAAUGCCAUGGAGACUCUCACCAUCCUCAGCUCCACUGCGAAGGCAGCACUGGAUGGCAAAAAGGAGAGUCUCCUGCAUGCCUGCUUCAAGAGUGUCUUCUUUCUGCCUCCCUAUUUGGACAUGUCAGCGGUAGAAAAAGAUCUCUACAACAAGACCAUGAACGCCAUGGAAAUCAUGCUGCAGGCCUUUGUACGCAACUGUCCAAUCUCCAGUGUCGGCGAGGAGCUGCAGAUUAUUUGGCAGGCGCUGCUGCACUACGCCACCUCCCAUAACACCGCUGUGCGCAAGAUCGCCCUGCAGAAGAUUGAGAGGCUGAGUGAUUUCCUGGUCACAUAUCUGGGGAAGGUAAGAUGCCAGGAACCCUUCAGCCAGCCUGUCUCCCCUUCCCUGCAUUCCAGAGCAUCCUGCAGCUCAGGGGUGCCUGUGCAGCAAGCCCG